GUGGUAAUCAGAAGAAUUGUUUUCGAAGCAUACAAAUGGAAAUUCUCACACAAUUUAGUGACGAAUAACAAAUAUAAACAAACAUCAAAGAAGAUGAAUACUGCUUUGGGAAAAGUCCCCGGAUCCCAGGAUAGAAAGUAUCACCCGUAAUGGUAAUGUCUCUGUUUGCUGGUACCUUGGCAAAGAAGAAAUUGUCCAGUGUCUUGUGCACCCAAUCUCCGAGUCUUUAGUGCUGCAUUCAAAGUCAAUGAUCGAAGUAAUAGGUUAAUGCAAUUAGGAAUUAUAUUUUUUCUGGUAGCAAUUACAAAUUGUAUUCUAUUAGAAAUUAAUUUCCGUACAGAAUGGGGCUUACUCUCACGAUUACCA
rnacentral:RNase_MRP_RNA from 1 species